rnacentral:rRNA from 1 species
UACGUAGGGGGCAAGCGUUGUCCGGAUUUACUGGGCGUAAAGCGCGCGUAGGCGGAAGCUCAAGUCUGGCCUGAAAGCCCCCGGCUCAACCGGGGAGUGGGGCUGGAAACUGGGUUUCUUGAGGGCGAUAGAGGAGUGUGGAAUUCCUGGUGUAGCGGUGAAAUGCGUAGAGAUCGGGAGGAACACCAGUGGCGAAGGCGACUACCUGGCCUGUUCUUGACGCUGAGGCGCGAAAGCUGGGGGAGCAAACGGG